rnacentral:rRNA from 1 species
AGCGAACGCUGGCGGCAGGCCUAACACAUGCAAGUCGAACGAAGCCUUCGGGCUUAGUGGCGGACGGGUGAGUAACACGUGGGAACGUACCUUUUGGUUCGGAACAACUCAGGGAAACUUGAGCUAAUACCGGAUGAGCCCUUAGGGGGAAAGAUUUAUCGCCGAAAGAGCGGCCCGCGUUAGAUUAGCUAGUUGGUGAGGUAAAGGCUCACCAAGGCUACGAUCUAUAGCUGGUCUGAGAGGAUGAUCAGCCACACUGGGACUGAGACACGGCCCAGACUCCUACGGGAGGCAGCAGUGGGGAAUCUUGCGCAAUGGGCGAAAGCCUGACGCAGCCAUGCCGCGUGAAUGAUGAAGGUCUUAGGAUUGUAAAAUUCUUUUACCAGGGACGAUAAUGACGGUACCUGGAGAAAAAGCCCCGGCUAACUUCGUGCCAGCCGCCGCGGUAA